rnacentral:rRNA from 1 species
AACAGGAUUUAGAUACCCUGGUAGUCCGCACAGGUAAACGAUGGAAUGCCCGCUGUCCGCCCCUUUGUGGCGGAUGGCCAAAGCGAAAGCGUUUAAGCAUCCCACCUGGGGAGUACGCCGGCAACGGUGAAACUCAAAGGAAUUGACGGGGGCCCGCACAAGCGGAGGAACAUGUGGUUUAAUUCGAUGAUACGCGAGGAACCUUACCCGGGCUUGAACUGCCAGUGAACGAUACAGGGAUGUUGAGGCCCUUCGGGGCGCUGGUGGAGGUGCUGCAUGGUUGUCGUCAGCUCGUGCCGUGAGGUGUCGGCUUAAGUGCCAUAACGAGCGCAACCCCUUUUUUCAGUUGCCAUCAGGUAAUGCUGGGCACUCUGGAGAUACUGCCACCGCAAGGUGUGAGGAAGGUGGGGAUGACGUCAAAUCAGCACGGCCCUUACGUCCGGGGCUACACACGUGUUACAAUGGGGCAUACAGAGUGUUGGCUUAACGCAAGUUUGGUCUAAUCUUCAAAGUGUCUCCCAGUUCGGACUGGGGUCUGCAACCCGACCCCACGAAGCUGGAUUCGCUAGUAAUCGCGCAUCAGCCAUGGCGCGGUGAAUACGUUCCCGGGCCUUGUACACACCGCCCGUCAAGCCACGAAAGCCGGGGGUGCCUGAAGUCCGUAACCGUCAAGGAGCGGCCUAGGGCAAAACUGGUGAUUGGGGCUAAGUCGUAACAAGGUAACC